rnacentral:rRNA from 1 species
GACGAACGCUGGCGGUGUGCUUAACGCAUGCAAGUGGUGCGACGAACCAGAGCUUGCUCUGGGGCAAAGCCGCGAACGGGUGAGUAACACGUGGGUAAUCUACCCCGAUGACCGGGACAACCCGAGGAAACUCGGGCUAAUACCGGAUGUGGUGCGGAGACAUAAGUCUCUUCACUAAAGGUAGCUUCGGCUUCCGCAUUGGGAGGGGCCCGCGGCCCAUUAGCUUGUUGGUGGGGUCAAGGCCUACCAAGGCAACGAUGGGUAGCUGGUCUGAGAGGACGAUCAGCCACACUGGGACUGAGACACGGCCCAGACUCCUACGGGAGGCAGCAGUGGGGAAUCUUGCGCAAUGCGCGAAAGCGUGACGCAGCAACACCGCGUGAGGGAAGAAGGCCUUAGGGUUGUAAACCUCUUUCAGAUGGGACGAAGGUGCUCCGGUGAAUAGCCGAGAGGAUUGACGGUACCGUCAGAAGAAGCGCCGGCUAACUACGUG